GCGGCAGUGGCGGAAUUGGUAGACGCGCUAGCUUCAGGUGCUAGUUCUCGCAAGGGAGUGGAGGUUCAAGUCCUCUCUGCCGCACCA
rnacentral:tRNA from 1 species